rnacentral:misc_RNA from 1 species
AGUAGAUUGAAUACAUCCUGCAAAAUGUAGCAAAAGAAAAAAAAAUCAAAGUGAGAUGAUAAAUCUUCAUGAUUAUAAAUGAAUGCACAGAGGUAAGCAUAACAUGAAGGUUGACAAAAACUUAGAAGGAAAGAUGGUCUUAAAAAUGGGCUCAAGUUCAUGAUGGUUUUGCUUUGGUUCCACAAAAUUGAAUGAGAGAGAGAUGGUAGACUCAAUUGACAACAAUAUUUCUUGGGAAAGAAUUGUUCAUUUACUACACCAUGAUUUUCAAUUUAUAAAGAAUUAGAACAUUGAGACAUGUACUGCUUGUGAGCCCAUGCUGAAAAACAAGUCCAUUGUGUGACUAUUAGGACAUCAGCUAUUUGACACUCAAGUCCGAGCAAUGACUACAGAAGAUAAUGUGGAAGUAGUCAACGUCAAAGAAAAUGCCCAAAAUUCUAUAUGAAUCAACUAGUAAGAGUGCAUAGUCCUUAAUUUUAGAAGCAUAUUCAAAUCUAAUAUUCCUAUUUUGAGCUAUGCAACAGGACAUUGAAGCGGUUUCCAAAUUCCAUUACAAACAAUGUAGCCAAUCAAGGAAAAGCCAGACAAAAUUAAGCACUGUUAACAUAGAAAAAAAAUUUCUGUAACACAAAAAUAUUAAAAAAGUUCCAUUAUUUCAAUUAUUUAUCUUAAAAAAGAAAACAAACUUGACAUUAAGUUUCUUUAACUCAGAUCAAACAAAGAAAAGCCUCCAUCAAUUCAAAGCAAACUACAACAAACCCAGUGAAAACAUCAAAAACAACUUAUUUAAAUUUCAUUUUAAUUAAAUACAGAUUCCUAACUAGGGUUAAAAUGAAUGACUUGAAUUUUGCUUCUUCUUACAGUCAAGAUUGAACUGAUAACUUAAUGCAUGAUAUGUGUACAUGUGUAUGCACAGAAAAAAAAAAGACCAGAAAAUAGGAAAUUUUGGAAGACUCAUAAUAAAACCUGCAAAUGG